GACCUACACUCAAGAAAUUUCUUAAGCCUUUGGCGUGUAACUUUGCAAAGUUACACGCCAAAGGCUUAAGAAAUUUCUUGAGUGUAGGU
rnacentral:miRNA from 1 species